UACGUAGGGGGCAAGCGUUGUCCGGAAUCAUUGGGCGUAAAGCGCGCGUAGGCGGCCCGGUAAGUCCGUUGUGAAAGUCAAAGGCUCAACCUUUGAACGCCGAUGGAUACUGCCGGGCUAGAGUCCGGAAGGGGCGAGUGGAAUUCCUGGUGUAGCGGUGAAAUGCGCAGAUAUCAGGAGGAACACCAAUGGCGAAGGCAGCUCGCUGGAACGGUACUGACGCUGAGGCGCGAAAGCGUGGGGAGCAAACAGGAUUAGAACCCUACGUCGAGACC
rnacentral:rRNA from 1 species